AACGAACGCUGGCGGCAGGCUUAACACAUGCAAGUCGAACGCCCCGCAAGGGGAGUGGCAGACGGGUGAGUAACGCGUGGGAAUCUACCCAGAUCUUCGGAACAACUGAGGGAAACUUCAGCUAAUACCGGAUACGCCCUACGGGGGAAAGAUUUAUCGGAUUUGGAUGAGCCCGCGUUGGAUUAGCUAGUUGGUGGGGUUAUGGCCUACCAAGGCGACGAUCCAUAGCUGGUCUGAGAGGAUGAUCAGCCACACUGGGACUGAGACACGGCCCAGACUCCUACGGGAGGCAGCAGUGGGGAAUAUUGGACAAUGGGCGAAAGCCUGAUCCAGCCAUGCCGCGUGAGUGAUGAAGGCCUUAGGGUUGUAAAGCUCUUUCAGUAGGGAAGAUAAUGACGGUACCUACAGAAGAAGCCCCGGCUAACUUCGUGCCAGCCGCCGCCGUAAAAC
rnacentral:rRNA from 1 species